rnacentral:other from 1 species
ACCGGCCUGCAAAGCAGGUGCGGGGAUCAACGCCGGUUGAACCUUUAAUCAUUGAACAGGGAGCUUGACUCGACAUAUUGGCUCGGUGUGCAGUGUCCGCCAGUCCGGAAUGCCUAAAGAGCCACGGCGAGUUCCCACCGUCUUAGGACGGGUUCACCGGCGCAUCACUCACGGCCCAGUGGGUCGGUC